UCGAGCCAUAUCCCCCUGUAGAUCUCGUCUGGUUUCCCACUGCAGCUAAGCAGGGGUGAGUUUGGCCAUUACCUUCAUGGAAGACUCUCUGGGGAAAACUAAGCUUGCUGCUGGAA
rnacentral:rRNA from 1 species